AAUACUUAUGGAUCAUUCUGAAAGAGACCUCUGACCUUGUUAAUAAGCUCUGCCCUCAAGUUAAGCGGACACUUCAGAUGACGUCUGAUGAGUUGACACUUGCAGGGCAUGGGAAGAACGAAUUUGUUUUAAAUGGACCGCCCUUGCCUGGAAAUGUGUCACUUGUUCGUCCCACGGUUGUGUUUUCAGUCAUCAUAGAACCACCGGUAGCUGUUGUGUGUGCUUUAUACACUACAGUAAAUUAUGAUUGCAUUUCCUAUCUUGGCUAAAAGACAACGCAUCUGCAGACAUCGAAUGCUAGCCAUCCGACAAAAUCUGGCCCGGGAGUGAACACUCGCAACCUCGAUCACAAACGAGGGCUGAGGGGCUUACGUUGCCAACUUCCCUUGUUUGGCUAAUUGUUUGGACCGACGGCAAAGAUGGCCGCGGGGAUUCCCCUAGGGCAUAUGGCAGGGGCACUGAGGCACUGUUCCAGAUGGUCUUCAGGCGCUAUGGCCUUCUGGAGGAAAUCGUCUCCCACCGUGGCCCCCAAUUCACGUCAUGGUUAUGGAGAGGCUUCAUGGAGAAGCUGGGUGUCACGGUCAGCCUCACAACCGGGUACCGCCCUCAGUCCAACAGGCAGGUGGAAAGGAUGAACCAGGAGCUGGGGAGGUUCCUUAGGAGUCACUGCCAGGAUCUUCAUGUUUCUUAUUAUUAAACUCACCUUCUGCACCGGCUUGAAUUAUUUAGGCUAAAUUAUUAUUAUUUCAAUGCUAUAGCCUACCAUUUAAGAAAUCAAUUAUGAAGAGUUUGUGACACACUACAGGCUGUAACGAGCGCUCAGCAUUUCAACAACACAUCAACAACAGCACUUCAACAACAUGCCUAUACAUUUUGCAUUUAGUCUGUUUAAAAUGAAAAUGUAUUUAUUUGUAUUUUUUAUUAAAUAAUAUUGACAUUAAAAAU